rnacentral:rRNA from 1 species
UACGGAGGAUCCGAGCGUUAUCCGGAUUUAUUGGGUUUAAAGGGUGCGUAGGCGGUUUGAUAAGUUAGAGGUGAAAUGUCGGGGCUCAACCCCGAAACUGCCUCUAAUACUGUUGGACUAGAGAAUAGUUGCGGUAGGCGGAAUGUAUGGUGUAGCGGUCAAAUGCUUAGAGAUCAUACAGAACACCGAUCGCGAAGGCAGCUUACCAAACUAUAUCUGACGUUGAGGCACGAAAGCGUGGGUAGCAAACAGG